AAUCAAUGAUGACACCUAUCCCGAAGCUGAUUACCUGAAGAAAAAUAUAUACGGAUUCGGCUUCUGAGAU
ensembl:snoRNA SNORD50B small nucleolar RNA SNORD50